UUCCGGUUGAUCCCGCCGGACCUGACUGCUAUCGGAUUGAUACUAAGCCAUGCGAGUCUUUGUAGUAAUACAAGGCAGACGGCUCAGUAACACGUAGUCAACCUACCCUAUGGACAAGAAUAAUCUCGGGAAACUGGGCAUAAUUCUUGAUAGAUCAUAAUGCCUGGAAUGGUUUAUGGUUAAAAUGAUUCGUCGCCAUAGGAUGGGACUGCGGCCUAUCAGCUUGUUGGUGAGGUAAUGGCCCACCAAGGCGAUUACAGGUACGGGCUCUGAGAGGAGAAGCCCGGAGAUGGGUACUGAGACACGGACCCAGGCCCUAUGGGGCGCAGCAGGCGAGAAAACUUUGCAAUGUGCGAAAGCACGACAAGGCUAAUCCGAGUGAUUUCUGCUAAAGAAAUCUUUUGCCAGUCAUAAAACCACUGGUGAAUAAGGGGUGGGCAAGUUCUGGUGUCAGCCGCCGCGGUAAAACCAGCACCUCAAGUGGUCAGGAUGAUUAUUGGGCCUAAAGCAUCCGUAGCCGGCUUUGUUAGUUUUCGGUUAAAUCCAUGUGCUCAACGCAUGGGCUGCCGAAAAUACUGCAUGGCUAGGGAGUGGGAGAGGUAGACGGUACUCAGUAGGAAGGGGUAAAAUCCUUUGAUCUAUUGAUGACCACCUGUGGCGAAGGCGGUCUACCAGAACACGUUCGACGGUGAGGGAUGAAAGCUGGGGGAGCAAACCGGAUUAGAUACCCGGGUAGUUCCAGCUGUAAACGAUGCAGACUCGAUGAUGCAUUGUCAUAAUACACACCCCACUGUGCUCGCACAGAAACCGUUAAAUCUGCCGCCUGGGAAGUUCGUUCGCAAAGUAUGAAACUUAAAGGAAUUGGCGGGGGAGCACCACAAGGGGUGAAGCCUGCGGU
rnacentral:rRNA from 1 species